rnacentral:rRNA from 1 species
CCAAUAGCGUAUAUUAAAGUUGUUGCAGUUAAAAAGCUCGUAGUUGAAUUUCGAGAUCAGUACGCUGGUCGUGCCUUCGGUACUAUGCACUGGUGUCACUGGUUUCUCCCUUCUGAAGAACCGUAAUGCCAUUCAGUUGGUGUGGCGGGGAAUCAGGAUUGUUACUUUGAAAAAAUUAGAGUGUUUAAAGCAGGCUCGUG